GUUGAGUAAACCAGUUGCGUCAUUAGGCUUGCCUAUCUCUGAGGCAUCCUAUACCCCGGCUGGUGUUCCCCGUAUACCAUCUCCGCAGCCGCCCACGGUUUAUCAUUGUCAAGUCAUCCACGGAGAGAGGACAGACCAAAACUUUCCAGAGGCAGAGGCGGGGUCCGGGCCGGGAGAUGGUGCUGCAAAAUCCCUCCUUUCCCGCCUCUGGGACCGUCCAGCGUCAGAUGCUCAUCUAGAAGAGAAGACUGAACAGCACGUCCACAUUGGCAACAAAUCCCCAGGUGAAGGACAGAUGAAGACAUAAAAAGGGGAGAGAGAGGGGGAAUGACAUGCAGCAAAGGGCCGCAGGUUGGAGUCAAACCUGCGGUCGCUAACCGGUGUGCCUAACCUACCAACUGAGCUUGUUCUCAAAAGUAUAUGUUUAUAUAUACACAGGGACUAAACAUAAACAGAUACAAAAAUAUGGUUCCAUCUCCGUGCAACGUUUGACUCAUGUGGACCUGCAGGCGACUGACGUUGCCUUCACAUUCGACUGCAUGAUGACCAGAUGCUGAGCACACAACUGUAUGAGAUUUCAGAGGAUCUAAGAAACUAAAACUUUGUCACCCAUGGCGUGGGGGCACACUGCACAUGAAUUAUAACUCUACAGCGCUCAAAUGAAUAAGCCCGCUUAAUAUGUUUGUGUAAUCUGACAACAGUAUAGUUGUGUAAUCUGGACAGCUGUUGUCAAGAGAAAUUUGAUGACACAACCGCUUCAACUCAAACUUACUGAACUCAUUUGCCAAAUCAUGGGAAAGAUCUGAAUGAAAUUGCAACUGGAUUAAACAUAUUAAUUCAUUGACUUGUUGUCACAUGUGGUGUAUUUCAACAGUACCACUUGUGCUUCAUUUCAAAUAAUUCAGAGCUGCAUGACCUCAUCAUAAGGCACUGAAUAUAAGUUAAUGAAAUACUAAACUCACAUUUAAGACGCGUGUGUUGGGAACAGAGACUCCAACAUUUCCCUCUACUCAUUUAAGUGCACUUGGGGGGCUGAAAACCAAAGUUUCCAGGAGGCUGGCAUUACUGUUGUGGUGACUGAUAAACUCUUCUUCUCAUGUGAUCCCUGUGGCCCCACAGACUCUAAACACAGAGGCCCGGGUGACUCAAACACGGCACUCCAACACUCUCUUAACUCUGCUGUCUGUGAUUCACUGCUGUUCAGCUCAGAUGUAAACACAGCCUGUGAGCUCCAACAGCUGACACCACAAAACUUCAGCUACGGCACAAGUUGAACCACCAAGGUGAACACAAACCGUCAUGAUCUUCUCUGAAGUUUAUAGAUACACUACUGACGUGUGUUUGGCAAAUACGGUGUGACAUUGAUUAGAAUUAAAUAUAUAAUGUAUGACAUAUCAACAUAAAUCUCCGUCACAGGGUUUUCCACAGGAUGUGAUGUAUUAGUGCUGGUAUGCAGAACUGGUAUAUGAUGCAUUUUGAUGAAUUGGGCGUUCUUUUGAAUUUCUUACAAAUCUUUCAGUCAGAUAUGUAUUCCAUAAUCCAUCCUCUCCCAACCUGGGUACCAGAACCCACUAAUAGAUAGGUUUUUAGGUUGUUGGUUGGCUCGAAAAUCCAAGGCCAGCCCGUUUUCCACUGCAGCAGAGC